rnacentral:rRNA from 1 species
UGCUAUACAUGCAGUCGAGCGAGCUGAAUUCAAAGAUCCCUUCGGGGUGAUUUGUUGGACGCUAGCGGCGGAUGGGUGAGUAACACGUGGGCAAUCUGCCCUAAAGACUGGGAUACCACUUGGAAACAGGUGCUAAUACCGGAUAACAACAUGAAUCGCAUGAUUCAAGUUUGAAAGGCGGCGCAAGCUGUCACUUUAGGAUGAGCCCGCGGCGCAUUAGCUAGUUGGUGGGGUAAAGGCCUACCAAGGCAAUGAUGCGUAGCCGAGUUGAGAGACUGAUCGGCCACAUUGGGACUGAGACACGGCCCAAACUCCUACGGGAGGCAGCAGUAGGGAAUCUUCCACAAUGGACGCAAGUCUGAUGGAGCAACGCCGCGUGAGUGAAGAAGGUCUUCGGAUCGUAAAGCUCUGUUGUUGGUGAAGAAGGAUAGAGGCAGUAACUGGUCUUUAUUUGACGGUAAUCAACCAGAAAGUCACGGCUAACUACGUGCCAGCAGCCGCGGUAAUACGUAGGUGGCAAGCGUUGUCCGGAUUUAUUGGGCGUAAAGCGAGCGCAGGCGGAAUGAUAAGUCUGAUGUGAAAGCCCACGGCUCAACCGUGGAACUGCAUCGGAAACUGUCAUUCUUGAGUGCAGAAGAGGAGAGUGGAACUCCAUGUGUAGCGGUGGAAUGCGUAGAUAUAUGGAAGAACACCAGUGGCGAAAGCGGCUCUCUGGUCUGCAACUGACGCUGAGGCUCGAAAGCAUGGGUAGCGAACAGGAUUAGAUACCCUGGUAGUCCAUGCCGUAAACGAUGAGCGCUAGGUGUUGGGGACUUUCCGGUCCUCAGUGCCGCAGCAAACGCAUUAAGCGCUCCGCCUGGGGAGUACAACCGCAGGGUGAAACUCAAAGGAAUUGACGGGGGCCCGACAAGCGGUGGAACAUGUGGUUUAAUUCGAAGCAACGCGAGAAACUUACCAGGGCUUGACAUCCUGGGCUACCCUAGAGAUAGGUGGUUCCCUUCGGGACCCAAAAACGGGGGU